UUGGUGCCAAGCGUACUGAGUGUCGUAGCUAACGCGAUAAGUAUUCCGCCUGGGAAGUACGUCCGCAAGGUUUAAACUCAAAGGAAUUGACGGGGGCCCGCACAAGCGGUGGAGCAUGUGGUUUAAUUCGAUGCAACGCGAAGAACCUUACCUGGGCUUGACAUGUCUGGAAUCCUGCAGAGAUGCGGGAGUGCCCUUCGGGGAAUCAGAACACAGGUGCUGCAUGGCUGUCGUCAGCUCGUGUCGUGAGAUGUUGGGUUAAGUCCCGCAACGAGCGCAACCCUUGUCCUUAGUUGCCAGCGGUUCGGCCGGGCACUCUAGGGAGACUGCCGGUGACAAACCGGAGGAAGGUGGGGAUGACGUCAAGUCCUCAUGGCCUUUAUGUCCAGGGCUACACACGUGCUACAAUGGCGCGUACAGAGGGAAGCCAAGCCGCGAGGUGGAGCAGACCCCAGAAAGCGCGUCGUAGUUCGGAUUGCAGUCUGCAACUCGACUGCAUGAAGUCGGAAUCGCUAGUAAUCGCGGAUCAGCAUGCCGCUG
rnacentral:rRNA from 1 species